CUCAGUUUCUUUCUCCUCUUCCUCUUGUAUCAGAGGGAGGAAGAGGAGGAAGGAUUUAUUCAGUAGUUAUAACAACUGGUGCUUCAAAUCCUUGCCAUUCUGGUGCACUUCACUAGCACUGAAACAUUGAAACAGAAGUCAGUAAAUACGGAAUUCUUAAGAUGUUUAUGUGCUCCAGCUCUAGUCGACAAGAAAAUUUCUUUUGUUGAAUGUGUAAAUGGAGAGUUGUGAAUCCGUUGGUGCAGACACAAAAAGGCGUGCCGCAUAUUUAUUUGCUAAGAUUGAAUGGCCUCUGGAAUCAAUCCCCCAAGAUGUGCAGAUCACCAAUAUCCUUCCUCGUGGAUAAAGAACAGGUCGACAACUUCCCAGGGAGGCUCUAAACAAAUUUAUAAGCCUUCUGGAAACUACUGGGCAAACCCUCAUUGUAAAUCAGUGUAAGAUUUAGUUUUAGUUCAUCUUUGAGCAUCUCAGAAGACUUCUAGCUUUCUACUGAAUAUUAUUACUUUAUCUGUGCAACGACUGCUGCUACUGCUAAAAUUCAUUAUGCUU